rnacentral:rRNA from 1 species
UACGGAGGGUGCGAGCGUUGUCCGGAAUCACUGGGCGUAAAGGGCGCGUAGGUGGCGAUGCACGCGUGGGGUGAAAGUCCGGGGCUCAACCCCGGAUCGGCCUUGCGGACGGCAUUGCUCGAGCAUGGUAGAGGCAGGUGGAAUUCCGGGUGUAGCGGUGGAAUGCGUAGAGAAUCCGGAAGAACACCGGUGGCGAAGGCGGCCUGCUGGGCCGAUUGCUGACACUGAGGCGCGACGAGCGUGGGGAGCAAACAGG